AGGAGGGGCAGAUUCGACUUUUCACAAUUAAAUUUGGGAGAGGUAUUUAAGGAACACAUCCCUCGCAAACCCUAGCCACUUCCCUCAUUUUCCUUCAGCUCUCUCUCUCUCUACCCGACACUCUCUCUCUCAUCCUCCUUGCCGGAAAUCGCCGCCGUCGCCGGAAUCCCAAUCCUCACCAAAAUUUCCAGAUUUUCUUCUCUUCCUUCCCUCUUUCCAUUUCUCCAACCAAAACCAAGAAAUUUGGCCAUCCAACCCUCCAAAAACCCUAGAACCCGAAGCUAAAUUGGGGCUUUUUGUGAUUUCUUCUUUCCAAGCUUAAAUCAAGGCUAUGGGUUUGGCAAGGAUUUUUGGUGAAGAAGGCCAAGGAGAAGGAAUAGGACGUGAU